GUAGCGCUCCCUUUUGGGAUCAACGAGCUGUGUGGCGCCUGUGCGGCUUCUGAGAGACCGGCUGGUGGCGCUUGGCGGCUUCCUGCCAAUCCACCCUUCUCCUCCCGCGCAAGGGGGCAAUCCCAAUCCCACCACCGGGAACACCCAGGCCAAAAGAACGGGAGUUACACUCAAAGUCUUCCCCCUUCUUAUCACUCCUGCCGAUUUCCCUCUUCCUUUUUGCACGCCUCCACUCUUCCCCACCGGAAACGCCGCCCCUUCCUCCUACAGUUCCUCCCAGCAGUCCCUCAACGCCUGUCUUCCCUCGCGCGUAGAGAGUGACUCGAAGGACCCCCUCUCCUCUUCGCUGCAGCCCCUCCCCAUGCACGCUGGGAGACUCUUGGAGGGGAUAAGGUGGGGCCCGGAGAGGAAGAGAAGACAAUCGGAUUGGAUAGGCAGCUGCCAUGGCAACUGGAGGCUGUGGUUAUAUUGUCAUAGUAACCGAUGUGUGCGGACAGGGUCACCCUCCCCUUGGCCAAUGGAUUCCCAGGAAACCACCCAGGGUUCCCCGUUGGCUUCCCUUCCAUCUAAAGGCCUCCCCCAAGUUAGGAAUCGAUAUAGUUCUCCCCGGUGGUGAAGUCCACUUCCUCCUCCCUUCCCACUUCCCACAGCAACUGGGGGGACACCCCGAGGCAUUCACCAUGGGCUUUUCCACCCGCCUGCGAGCGGGAACCACCUCCGUAGUUUCCUCUCAGAGCCGGGCGUGGAGAGGGCUGGGCCUGCGAAGAGGAUGCAUGGCCUGGAGGCUGGCGGGCGGCGGGCUGGAGUCGGGAGGGCGAGGCGACAGCGCCAAGCGGCGAGGAAGGGCAAGGGGUUUCCCCACAACUGCCUUGGGCUCUGGGAGGCGGGAUCCCGCCUGGACGGGGUCCCUGAGGGAGGAGAGCGGCACACGACAGCCGCGAUGCCUUCCCUGCCGACGGGGAUAGCCGACUUCUGGCGAGUCGACCCCUCCCCCAAAUCCACCCCACCCGCGUACUCCCUCCUGACCUAGCUGUCGCGAGCCUGCCGCGAGGAGGCCAGGGUGAGGGUGGGAACACAUCCUAGAAGGCUAACACGUGGUUUUCUAUCAUUUAAGCCGGGGACAAGCCGGAAGGCUGACUAGCGCCAUCACUCUGAUAGGCACCCCGCAGUGGGGAUCCUGCUUGAUUAUUAAAGGCAGACCUCCAAGUUCCUCCCUGCUCUGCAACCUUUCUCUUCUCACGGGUCUGCAGUGUUUUAAAAGUCGUCAUUCUGUGUCGUUGAGUUAGAGAGGAAAACAUCGGAUAAAAGAGGAUCAAGAAGAACGAACCCUAGAUACAUCUGUCUGGUGAAAGGAGUCUAGGAAAAGAAGUUUCAUUCUUAGAACAAAUCUUUUUGGAUAUUUAUUAUGUGUGUUUUGUGUCAGGUUUCGGGCCAAAAAGCUGAAAUAAAGAACGAAGUCAAUAAUAAUAUGAAGUGUAUGAGAAAUAGCUGGAAAAUUCAUCAUCCAUGACUUGAAGAAAUUGACGUUUUACAAGUUAUAUUUUCGGUGAAGAGGCACUUUCAAGAUCCUUCUCUGAGACCUGCACCAAUAAGACUAUACCAAUGUUCAGUUGAAACAUCAGGUAUAAGUUUAGCGGAAACGAAAGUACAACCUGCUUUGAAAUAAAUUCCAAGGACAGAUUGUCAUUAACGAAAUAGAAAGUGGACUAUGCCCCUCAUGCUGCCAGCGCCUGGUAUGGUGCGGCGUGACACGCAGCGCUUGCGGCAGUACAAUGCCCCCAAUCACCCGCCCCGCCCCGACGCGCCGCCCACUCACGGCAAAGAGAGCCACCUAGUGAGGGAUUAUUCUCAUUUCCGCGGUGGGGUUCUGCUUUUCUUUCUACCAUGAGCGCCCAAGGAUAGACACUCCUACUACCUAUUACCUCAAAUAGCCUACAUUUCUUUCCGAAAAUUUAUUGGUUAGAUAUUUUUCUUUUUUUUUUUUAAUUUAAAGACCAGUGUGAUCGUGUAUUGGUUAGAUUUUUUAAUUGGUUAGAUUUCAACCAGAAUAAAAAUUGUAAUAAUUACCCCCUUACUAAUCAUGGUAAUAGCCAUUUAUGUCUGUGGCACAUAUCUCCAAUAAAGAGUGUAUGAACAGUUAUCAUACAUUCCUGAUAAGCAAUCUAGGAAAAUAUUACUACUAUCUUCUCAUUUUGGAAAUAGAGAAACGGAACACUGUUCUGGUUAUGAUGGACACCACAGUGAAAGAGACCUGGUCCCUGCCUUGAGGAAACCCAACUGCUGGUAGAGAGCUCAGAGUAAUGAUUAGGAUGCAAUAUGAGGGAUGCAGUAAUUGGGGUAAGAACAAAGUAGGAACACAUGAGGUCAGAAAUAAUAAAGUCUGUGUUUUAUAGCAGCUUUCCUAAGAAUCUUAUAAGAGUCUUCAAUAGCUUUACAAUAUCUCUAGCUAAAUAGAAGAAUAGUAGUAUAUUUUAGAGAUUAGAAGACUUUGAUACUAAUAUUAAAAUUACCUUCAAAAAUCAAUAGGACUCAGAAAAAUUAUUACCUUCUAUUUAUAUACUGUUUAAUACACAUUUUCCAUUUUCAUCUAUUUCCACUUGUCCUAGUCAACAAACUUGUAGAA
rnacentral:lncRNA from 1 species